rnacentral:tRNA from 2 species
CAUUAGAUGACUGAAAGUAAGUACUGGUCUCUUAAACCAUUUUAUAAUAGAUUAACACCUAUUUCUAAUGA